rnacentral:rRNA from 1 species
CGCUGAAAGCAUCUAAGCGGGAAGCAGGCCUCGAGAUGAGUUCUCACUUUGACUUAGAGUCAACUGAAGGGCCGUUGAAGACUACAACGUUGAUAGGCGAGAUGUGGAAGUGCUGUGAGGCAUUAAGCUAACUCGUACUAAUUACCCGUGAGGCUUAACCAU